rnacentral:rRNA from 1 species
AUUGAACGCUGGCGGCAUGCCUUACACAUGCAAGUCGAACGGUAACAGGUCUUCGGAUGCUGACGAGUGGCGAACGGGUGAGUAAUACAUCGGAACGUGCCUAGUAGUGGGGGAUAACUACUCGAAAGAGUGGCUAAUACCGCAUGAGAUCUACGGAUGAAAGCAGGGGAUCGAAAGACCUUGUGCUACUAGAGCGGCCGAUGGCAGAUUAGGUAGUUGGUGGGAUAAAAGCUUACCAAGCCGACGAUCUGUAGCUGGUCUGAGAGGACGAUCAGCCACACUGGGACUGAGACACGGCCAAGACUCCUACGGGAGGCAGCAGUGGGGAAUUUUGGACAAUGGGCGAAAGCCUGAUCCAGCAAUGCCGCGUGCAGGAUGAAGGCCUUCGGGUUGUAAACUGCUUUUGUACGGAACGAAAAGCCCUGGGUUAAUACCCUGGGGUCAUGACAGUACCGUAAGAAUAAGCACCGGCUAACUACGUGCCAGCCGCCGCCGUAAAAC